GUCUAGUGGUAAGAGUGCAGCGUGUGAUGCCCUAUAAAAAGAAAACAGACCACAACACAAGUUUGUGGAUUAGCCGCACGUCACUAGCUCGAAUUCUAAUAAAAGUGCCUAGUAUUUAAGUGGAAAAUGAAAGAGAGAGGUUUAUUAUCCACCGAGUUUCGAACCAUGCGCCAUCUGGCCCUCGAGGAUUUCUCAGUUAUAAAAAAAUUAACUUGAUCCUACUUUUCCAAUGGAAAUUUAUAUAUCUGCAAUACUGAUGCUUCAAAUCACUCACCACACACACACACACACAUGUGUAUAUAUACAUAUGUUGUCUUAACUUUGGUAACUACCAAGCUUUCUUUUGAUGGCUAAGCUGUUGUAUGUCAAUGGACAUGGAGUACAUGAUCUGUAACUUUAUAACGUAUCUCAAAUUUUCAUUUCACUGCAGAAAGUAGAGAACAGAGUACGGAUACUCAGUGACUUGAGAGAACUUGCUUCAUCUGAGAGCCCUGAUUCUUUCACACUGGUUUACACAAAUACUUUAGAACAGCAACCAGACUGUCCGCCGGAAGUGGUUGAAAAGAUUGUGAGUCUGCGAGAAGGCAUACCACGAAAAGACGCAAAAGAGGUUGUUCAAGAAUGCAAAGAAAUCUAUGAACAUUCUCUGGUAGAUGGAAAUCCUCCCAAAACAGGUUUCUUUUUCCCCAGGGUGAAGUCCCUAUCAGCGUCAAAACAUUCAAUAUGGCGAAAGCUCACAUAGACCAACUGCUGCAACAAAUUGUUUGUUUCAGUCGCUGAAGAAAAUUUCCUGUACAUGCCUUUGUCACAAAAAUGUACAGAUUGGGACUAUAUUUUCUACGUCUUCAUAUGAUCUGAUUUAUUUAGCUCAUUUGUUUGGAUUGUAGUUGCCUUUGCCAAAUAUGUAUCCAUUCCAUUAUCAUUUUAGCUAUUACCAAUUUUGCAACCUUUUGGGUUUCACCAUAGUCGAGUUCUAUUUGUAAUGAUUGUUAAAUAAUAGGUCAGCUGAGUUCCCCCUCUCUCAUCUGUGUGUAGAUUCUUAAAAUAUUUCAACAAUGAACAGAUAUGUUCCUUUUUGUAUCCUUACCGUAUACCUUUUAUUGUAGCACAGAGAUUCGUAUGUUUAAUUAGACGAUC